UACGUAGGGCGCAAGCGUUAUCCGGAAUUAUUGGGCGUAAAGAGCUCGUAGGCGGUUUGUCGCGUCUGCCGUGAAAGUCCGGGGCUCAACUCCGGAUCUGCGGUGGGUACGGGCAGACUAGAGUGAUGUAGGGGAGACUGGAAUUUCUGGUGUAGCGGUGAAAUGCGCAGAUAAUCAGGAGGAACACCGAUGGCGAAGGCAGGUCUCUGGGCAUUAACUGACGCUGAGGAGCGAAAGCAUGGGGAGCGAACAGG
rnacentral:rRNA from 1 species